UACGUAGGGUGCGAGCGUUGUCCGGAAUUAUUGGGCGUAAAGAGCUUGUAGGUGGUUUGUCGCGUCUGCUGUGAAAAUCCGAGGCUCAACCUCGGACUUGCAGUGGGUACGGGCAGACUAGAGUGUGGUAGGGGAGACUGGAAUUCCUGGUGUAGCGGUGGAAUGCGCAGAUAUACAGGGAGGAACACCGGUGCGAAGGCG
rnacentral:rRNA from 1 species